rnacentral:rRNA from 1 species
UACGGAGGGGGCUAGCGUUGUUCGGAAUUACUGGGCGUAAAGCGCACGUAGGCGGCUUUGUAAGUUAGAGGUGAAAGCCCAGGGCUCAACCCUGGAAUUGCCUUUAAGACUGCAUCGCUUGAACAUCGGAGAGGUAAGUGGAAUUCCCGGUGUAGCGGUGAAAUGCGCAGAUAUCGGGAGGAACACCAGUAGCGAAGGCGGCUCGCUGGGCCAUUCCUGACGCUGGAGACGCGAAAGCUAGGGGAGCGAACAGG